rnacentral:misc_RNA from 1 species
GUUGAAGAACGCAGCGAAAUGCGAUAAGUAAUGUGAAUUGCAGAAUUCAGUGAAUCAUCGAAUCUUUGAACGCACCUUGCGCCCUCUGGUAUUCCGGAGGGCAUGCCUGUUUGAGUGUCAUGAACACCUCACCCCCUCGGGUUUCCGAUCGGGUGGACUUGGGCGUUGCCAGUUACAUGGCUCGCCUUAAAUGUAUUAGCGGUUGUUGACGUAAUAAGUUUCGUCUUGUCGACCGCUCCUAAUCUCCUUAGGGAUGUCUUCGGACACUUCAUGAUCUGACCUCAAAUCAGGUAGGACUACCCGCUGAACUUAAGCAUAUCAAUAAGCGGAGGA